AGGUAAUAUAAACCUAUUUAUAAUGGCGGCCUUUAUUCAAUUAGAGGAACUUGUUUCAUAAUCGAUAAUCCCCGUUCAUUUUAACUUUAAAUUAUAAUUUAUAUAUCGCCAUCUAAAGAAUUAAUUAAUUAAUUUUUUCUGAAUAAAAAAUAAAAAGUUAGGUCAAGGUGUAGUUAACAUUAAAGAUUAAAAUGAGUUACAUUAAAAAUUAUUUAAAGAAUUUUAACUUAAAAUUUUUAACAAAAAAGGAUUUAUAAGUAUUUAUAUAAUAAUAUUAUUAAUUGAAUUAAUACAUAAAAGUGU
rnacentral:rRNA from 1 species